rnacentral:tRNA from 1 species
UGGGCUCGUAGGGUAGUGGAUAUCCUAGCGGGCUUCGGUGGCUAUUUGUCGAAGAUACCCGCUGACCUGGGUUCGAGUCCCAGCGAGUCCGU